AUGAACGCUGGCGGCGUGCCUAAUCCAUGCAAGUCGCGCGAACAGACGAGGAGCUUGCUCCUCUGACGUUAGCGGCGGACGGGUGAGUAACACGUGGAUAACCUACCUAUAAGACUGGGAUAACUUUGGGAAACCGGAGCUAAUACCGGAUAAUAUAUUGAACCGCAUGGUUUAAUAGUGAAAGACGGUUUUGCUGUCACUUAUAGAUGGAUCCGCGCCGCAUUAGCUAGUUGGUAAGGUAACGGCUUACCAAGGCAACGAUGCGUAGCCGACCUGAGAGGGUGAUCGGCCACACUGGAACUAAGACACGGUCCAGACUCCUACGGGAGGCAGCAGUAGGGAAUCUUCCGCAAUGGGCGAAAGCUUGACGGAGCAACGCCGCGUGAGUGAUGAAGGUCUUCGGAUCGUAAAACUCUGUUAUUAGGGAAGAACAAAUGUGUAAGUAACUAUGCACGUCUUGACGGUACCUAAUCAGAAAGCCACGGCUAACUACGUG
rnacentral:rRNA from 1 species